GGCACGGACGCCAGAAGAGUACUCUGAAUCUUGGGAGUUGACAGAACAGGAGGAAUGUUCGGAAGUCAGAUGCAUCCCCGUUGCACAGGCAAUCUGAGUGCCAGAACAGUCCCAAGAGUGACCUAGCCAUGGCUACUGCUACCUGCUUCGACAGCAUCCUCAACUCCUGGCCCAGACUGGGCCCUCCUGCUUUCUUUCCAUUCCGUAACCUUCCACUGGCUUUCCAGGAAAUCUUGCUGCGAGGCAGAGUGGUUAGCGCCAGUUUUCAAAGGAGAAUGCUAACCAAUUAAGAAAGCAUUGCUUAAGUACUUUGCACAUGUUAAGCACUCUUAAUUAACGAGGUGUUUGGUCGGAAAGGCAUGUGAUUUGGCACAUUGCCAUCCAGAUAUCCAAGGUAUCUAAGGAUGAAAACUGAAGCAUGGAGAGGUUAAGUGACUUGCUGAAGACCACACCGCUGGCAAGUGGCAGGAGAGGGAUGUGAACCCAGGAAGUCUGGCUCCAGAGCCUGCACUCCCAACCCUCAUGAUUGUACUGCCUCUCAGGGAAAAGUAUACUUUUGUGUGCAUGACCAUCAAAUUAAUCACCAUAUUUUUUUCUUUUGAGCGUCAGACUAAAAAGAAACACAUUUCAAGAGACAUAUGCCUUCUGCAUCUCAGCUCCUACUUUUGAAAUCUUGAAGGUCAGAACUUCAAAUGAGCCAGUGUUUGCCUGCAGAAUGCUGUGGGAAAAGGCCAACGGAUGAAGGUUUUAUGUUGCCAAGCUCAACCCAUGUCAGCCUUUCUAACCAUAACUAUUUAGAUUAUCCAUUUAUCUGAGCAGCUUAAAUGGAUUUAUAGGUUAUAGGUGUUAACUAAUAAAUUCUUAUAUUCACUCUCCGUAGAAUUUGUAUUUAAAAUAAUAUUGCUGCCACGAAAAAUAACAUAUUACAUUUAGUGGAUGCUCCCAAUGUUUUUCAGCCUCUGGUCAUAUUUAUGUAUCUCAUAAAAGGCUCUGAACUUCAGUUUAUAUUGUAUAAAUGACUCCAUAUGAAUAAAGCAGAAUCUUUCUCUUCCUAAAGAUGCUCAUUAAUGGAAAUUCAUAGAAAGAAAACCCAAGCAUUUUAAAAAGCAGAAAGGAUACUCACUAUAGAUAAGAGCAUUGCUGCUUCCAGCAACUAAAAGAUGCACAAAUGGGUAGGUGGAGGGAGCUGUGUCACUACAAUCUCAUCCGGCUGCCCACAGUGUGGACCACACAUACACUCCCACUAACAGCGUGCCUCGUCCCCCACUCAGAGUUAGACUUCAUGCAUCUUUCAUCUUCUCAGUCUCCUCCCUGUGGGUCUCAAAACAACUAGAUAUUGCCCCGGAGCUGCCCAAGGUCUUAGCCUAUGGACCUCUGUGGCAUGGGCAAGAUGAGGGUUCCCCUUCCCUUUCCCACCUUAUUCCUCCCCACUCUCACCUCUUAUAGGAAGCAGGUAUUUGAUCAUAACAAGCAUCAUAGAUAUUUAUGAGAAAUGAUUAAUGCCAGGAACAGAAAGGUUUAUGUGUCUUGUAAAUGUGCUUCUAUAAAGUGUCUAAACACCUAAGAAGACACCUAGAAAGGGCUGUAAAAAUCUACUGUCACAAUCCUACCUGGACUUACCUGUUGUGGGAAACUGGAGGAUGGAAGCAGCUUCCCCAGGAGAAGGGCAGGAUAAGAUUGGGAGACAAGAGAAAAAGAGAUUUCCGGGCACCUGUCUGAGGCUGACUCAACUUGGCCUGACAUGAACCCCUCCAAAAAACAAAUGUUUUGCAACAUGCUCUGGACUUGAGAUGUGUUGUUAACCUGGCUGGUAAGACAGGUUCUUAAGUAACAGCACACCUUCCCAGGUACUGCAGGCCAUAAGAACUGCUUAGAUGGGAUCACCUUAAAGCACCCAUGCAUGUGCUGGAGAUGAGGUCCAUACCCCUUGGAAGCUUCCAGGCCCUAGGACACUGUCCUCGCUAGUUAGGACCUGAAUCAGCCCCAAUGAUCUUGGUGACUCCAAUGGCCCAGAAAUAUCCCAGCCAUACUAUUCACGCCUCUGUGGCACCUCAUCUCCCUUGCUUCUGCCCCGUACACAAAAACACCACCAUGUUCAUUUCUGUGGAGGAGAUACAAACUGGACCUCUUUGAAAUUGCUCCUUGUUUAUACUCUUUAUCACCCCUACAACCCUCUAGAUCAGAAUUAGAAAGGCUAAGAGAAUGUUUGCUGCUAUAGGAGAACAGAAAAGUGAAUUGUUCUGCCUGAGGGAGUUGUAUAAAGUUCAUCAGCUGUUACUGUAACACCCCAUGACAGGAUUUGCUCUUUACACCUUCACCUCUUCCCAGAUCCCAUCCUCAAAUGAAUGACUUCAGCAGUUAUACAGGGCAUAUAAAAUGAGACGCUCUUCAGGAAAUAAGUAAAAUUUAUGUGAUAAGCUAUUUAAAUUUCAUGUAACCAUUUAGGAAUUCCAGUGAGAAGGAAGUAAGGACGGGUGGGAGGAAGGGAGAGAGGGAGAAAGGGAGAAAGGGAGGGAGGGAAGACAAAGAAAAGAAAUCUAAUAAAGAAAUUUACUGGAGGGGUAUGUGGGAGAUAGUCCUAUGUGGGUAGCCCUUGAAAUCCGGAAUUCACCACUAAGAAUAGUUUUGUGAAAAAUACUCUGGAUUCUGUCCUUGAUUUAGAAUGUCUUUAAACACAGCAGAAGAUACACUAAGUCUGUUCAAUAUUGGAAAAGAAAAAUAUUAAGUGACAGAUUGUAAUUGCAGCCAAAUGCUAUAUCUUCAGUUUGGAUUCUGCAGUAAAUUAACAGGAACAUUGAAAAAAGUCAGUGUGACUGUGGCCAACCCUGGACUUGAUCAAUACUAUGUCAUGUAGCAAAAUAAAGAAUCUGA
rnacentral:lncRNA from 1 species